CCGAGUUUACAACUCCCAAACCCCUAUGUGAACGUUACCAAACUGUUGCCUCGGCGGGUCAUUCAUGCCCCGGGCGCGUCGCAGCCCCGGACCAAGGCGCCCGCCGGAGGACCAACCAAAACUCUUUUGUAUGUCCCUCGCGGACUUUUUUAUAAUUCUGAACCAUCUCGGCGCCCCUAGCGGGCGUUUCGAAAAUGAAUCA
rnacentral:rRNA from 1 species